GACGAACGCUGGCGGCGUGCUUAACACAUGCAAGUCGAACGCUGAAGACCUGGCUUUUGUUGGGUUGGAUGAGUGGCGAACGGGUGAGUAACACGUGAGUAACCUGCCCUCUUCUUUGGGAUAACGCCCGGAAACGGGUGCUAAUACUGGAUAUUCACUGAUCUUCGCAUGGGGGUUGGUGGAAAGGUUUGUUCUGGUGGGGGAUGGGCUCGCGGCCUAUCAGCUUGUUGGUGGGGUGAUGGCCUACCAAGGCUUUGACGGGUAGCCGGCCUGAGAGGGUGACCGGUCACAUUGGGACUGAGAUACGGCCCAGAGUCCUACGGGAGGCAGCAGUGGGGAAUAUUGCACAAUGGGCGAAAGCCUGAUGCAGCGACGCCGCGUGAGGGAUGGAGGCCUUCGGGUUGUAAACCUCUUUCGCUCAUGGUCAAGCCGCAACUGUGGGUUGUGGUGAGGGUAGUGGGUAAAGAAGCGCCGGCUAACUACGUG
rnacentral:rRNA from 1 species